rnacentral:rRNA from 1 species
UGGGGAAUCUUCCGCAAUGGACGAAAGUCUGACGGAGCAACGCCGCGUGAGUGAAGAAGGUUUUCGGAUCGUAAAACUCUGUCUUUUGGGGCGAACGUGAGUAUGGUGAACAAUCAUAGUCAGUGACGGUACCAAAGGAGGAAGCCACGGCUAACUACGUGCCAGCAGCCGCGGUAAUACGUAGGUGGCAAGCGUUGUCCGGAAUUAUUGGGCGUAAAGAGCGCGUAGGCGGGAUAGUCAGUCUGUUGUAAAAGUGCGGGGCUCAACCCCGUGAUGGCAAUGGAAACAGCUAUUCUUGAGUGCAGGAGAGGAAAGUGGAAUUCCCAGUGUAGCGGUGAAAUGCGUAGAUAUUGGGAGGAACACCAGUGGCGAAGGCGACUUUCUGGACUGUGUCUGACGCUGAGGCGCGAAAGCCAGGGGAGCGAACGGGAUUAGAUACCCCGGUAGUCCUGGCCGUAAAACGAUGGGUACUAGGUGUGGGAGGUAUCGACCCCUUCCGUGCCGGAGUUAACGCAAUAAGUACCCCGCCUGGGGAGUACGGUCGCAAGACUGAAACUCAAAGGAAUUGACGGGGUCAUAGCUGUUUCCUG